rnacentral:lncRNA from 1 species
AUGGAGGUUCCUAGGCUAGGGGUCAAACUCAAGGUACAGCUGCUGGCCUACACCACAGCCACAGCAACGCCAGAUCCAAGCCGCGUCUGCGACCUACACCACAGCUCAUGGCAACACUGGAUCCUUUACCCACUGAACUUAGUCAGGGAUUGAACCCGCAAUCUCAUGGUUCUUGGUCAGAUUCAUUUCCACUUAUUUCAGUUUUUUUAAAAUUACUUAAAAAAAGAUAGUGAUGAGUUUUCUUAAAAAAAUAAAAAGGAAUAUUCAAUUAUUUUCUUUAGAAACUGAUUCUCCAAGGAAGCAUAGUUUACAAUGCACUUUAUUUGACUACCAAAAGCAAACCAUCCCCAUCUUUGAAAUACUGGGCCUGUGUGAAUCACAGACAUGAUUCACACACAUAAAUCGACAGACACUAAAUGUAAAACCAAAGCUUUGAUAUUUUGCAUGUCAUAAUUUGCAGGGGGGGGAUUUCAUUAAUCUGGUGGAGAAAUAUAAUGUAAUGAAUAUCUGAAGAGCUGUUGUGUGUAAAAUGCUAUGAGAAUUACCUUAUAAAAAGAUUUUUAAGACCUCUAGUGCUAUAAUGUACAAAGGCUGGAAAAGGGAUGAAUCUGUUCUCCUACAACCUUUCAGGGCCUCACGAGCUUUACCUUAAACUUGGAGGUAGAGUUGGAGUUGGAUUAGGUAGUCUUUGAAGCCUUUUCCAGUUCUUCAACUGUAUUCCCCCUCUUCCAAGUUCAUAAAAGACCAGUUGGAAAAUGUGCUUGGGUUAGACUCUCAGUUCACCUGGACAGUUCUUUAGACUUUUAAUGAAUCAUUCUGGCAGGUGAAUCUGUGUGGAGUCCUGGGCUGUGGGGUUUGUUUGCCUGGCUCUCUGAAUCCCCCUUUGUGAAGGCUGUGGGGCCACCACAGUGAGGCUUGUUUGCUGUCUGCUCCUAGAGCAGCUGCCGCCUUUCUUCCUUUAUCCUUUCUCCAGCAAAGGAAAAUUCGGUGAUGUUUGUGUGUGUUUCAGAUGAGGAGAAUGCUCUGCACACAGGUUAUUCUCUGGGUUGAAGUGGAUGGGGUGAACACAGAGGAGCUCGGCUCAAUGGGAAGAGAGGUCGAGGCAGCAUCUGCCCCCUUGUUUGUUUCAACAGCUUCCGUCUUGAAUACAGAAUUUGUGGAGUGAGAGGCAAGCAGAGGAAGUUAAGAAAUGCAUUUAAGCACUUCUGUGCGUCUGCUCAGUUUGUCAGCCAGUUUGGGGAAUGGAGGUGGAGAGUGGGAGAGAAGAAAGGGACACACGGCUAGAUUUCUUUUUCUAUUAUUAAAUCCCUUGUCAUUUCAUAAUCUCCACUUGGAGAUUCUUACUGAGGUAUAUUCUGCAUAACUGUUCACUGACCAAAGGGCACUGUUUCAUGCUUAUAGGUAGGAAAUAUCAAAAUUGCAAUAUUUUUCUUGUCUUUUUAGGGCCACACCUGUGGCAUAUGGAGGUUCCCAGGCUAGAGCCUGGGAACCUCCCAUAUGCCACGGGAGCGGCAAAAAAACAAAAACAAAAACAAAAACAAAAAAAAAUCCCAAAUAUUUUCAUUCUCUGAUCUUAAUGGACCAGCUGCUCUCUACAUGGACUGGUCUCACGCAAUCCUAUAGGACCAUAUAAUUUUACUCAAACACACUACAGCAAACACAGAACCAUAAAUCCAGCAAAAGAACAAACAAAGAUGGGAAAAAAAGUAACAGGGAAUGUGUCAUCCUUUUCGGAGGGAAAGGAUAAAAACAGUCAAAGGAGUAAUCUUACAGACAGGUGGAAAUACUGGAAGUACAGAAACAAGGGCAGAGUGAAGGCAAAAGGAACAGAAUGUAAAGAGCAAUAAAGACACAGGUAAAACUGUGCAUCCCUGUCCUCUAACAUGUGGUUGGCCUAGUCUGCUGUCUUUAUUCUAUAUAGACAUGUGAUUGCUCAAGGUAAAAGCAGGUAUCUUCCCUCAGAAAGUUCAGCAAAUGGUAUAUACCUAGAACAAAAUCUGGAUGAAUACACAUCAAUUUGUUAAGAAUGACUGCCUAGAGACAGCCUUUCUGGAGGACUUCUGUUCAGUACUUUGAAAGUGUUUUUAAAGAGCACAUAUAUGUGUAAACGAAAAUGAAAACAAACUUUAAAAAAAUUUUCCAACGAGAUCGAGAGCAUUACCCUUUCUUCUUUUACAAAUGUGGAUUAGAGAUGCUAAAGGAAGUGUAUUCCCCUUUCAUCUUUGCAGGAAGGAUUGUCAACAGGUGCAUUUUCCUGGGAAUUGAUGGAAUUAGAGUUCAGCAUUUUUCUGCCAAUUCUGGGCAGCUAGGGAUAGAAAAAUCUGUGACCCCAAAGACCCACUCACACUUCUACGGGGCUUAUAGUUUCAAAGGCACUUGGUCUUUCCUUAUGGACAAUUUUGUGAACAGGUUAGUCUCAGCUUUCCAAUUAGUUUCUUAAGAACAAAAAUAAUAUCUCCCUGAAGCCUACAGUAGGCACUUAAAUAAUUAUUGACUGGCUGAUUGAUCACUAACUAAAUCUCUCUUGGAAACUGUUUGCCUUUCUUCUUUACUCUGCAUGGAAUUCCUCAUUCUCCAGAAGUAUGUAAGCACAUGCUACUUUUCCAGGACUUACUAAUUGAGAAUAGAUGGUAGUCGAUAAUGAUACACAUUUUUAUUUAGAUUUCAUGGGGGAAAAUACACCACAAAUACACUUCUGCUUUAACCCAACUUCCCUUAGAG